rnacentral:rRNA from 1 species
UACGGAGGAUGCGAGCGUUAUCCGGAUUUAUUGGGUUUAAAGGGUGCGUAGGAGGACUGUCAAGUCAGCGGUAAAAUUGAGAGGCUCAACCUCUUCCCGCCGUUGAAACUGGUGGUCUUGAGUGGAUGAGAAGUACGCGGAAUGCGUGGUGUAGCGGUGAAAUGCAUAGAUAUCACGCAGGACUCCGAUUGCGAAGGCAGCGUACCGGCAUCCAACUGACGCUGAGGCACGAAAGCGUGGGGAUCAAACAGG